rnacentral:rRNA from 1 species
UGAGGAAUAUUGGUCAAUGGGCGCGAGCCUGAACCAGCCAAGUAGCGUGAAGGAUGAAGGUCCUACGGAUUGUAAACUUCUUUUAUAAGGGAAUAAAGUCACCCACGUGUGGGUGUUUGUAUGUACCUUAUGAAUAAGCAUCGGCUAACUCCGUGCCAGCAGCCGCGGUAAUACGGAGGAUGCGAGCGUUAUCCGGAUUUAUUGGGUUUAAAGGGAGCGUAGACGGGCCGUUAAGUCAGCUGUGAAAGUUUGAGGUUCAACCUUAAAAUUGCAGUUGAUACUGGCGUCCUUGAGUACGGUUGAGGCAGGCGGAAUUCGUGGUGUAGCGGUGAAAUGCUUAGAUAUCACGAAGAACCCCGAUUGCGAAGGCAGCCUGCUAAACCGCCACUGACGUUGAGGCUCGAAAGUGUGGGUAUCAAACAGGAUUAGAUACCCUGGUAGUCCACACGGUAAACGAUGGAUACUCGCUGUUGGCGAUAGACUGUCAGCGGCUUAGCGAAAGCGUUAAGUAUCCCACCUGGGGAGUACGCCGGCAACGGUGAAACUCAAAGGAAUUGACGGGGGCCCGCACAAGCGGAGGAACAUGUGGUUUAAUUCGAUGAUACGCGAGGAACCUUACCCGGGCUUGAAUUGCAGACGAAUUGCUUGGAAACAGGCAAGCCGCAAGGCGUCUGUGAAGGUGCUGCAUGGUUGUCGUCAGCUCGUGCCGUGAGGUGUCGGCUUAAGUGCCAUAACGAGCGCAACCCUCGUGUCCAGUUACUAGCAGGUUAUGCUGAGGACUCUGGACAGACUGCCAUCGUAAGAUGUGAGGAAGGUGGGGAUGACGUCAAAUCAGCACGGCCCUUACGUCCGGGGCUACACACGUGUUACAAUGGGGGGUACAGCAGGCAGCUACCGGGCGACCGGAUGCCAAUCCCGAAAGCCUCUCUCAGUUCGGACUGGAGUCUGCAACCCGACUCCACGAAGCUGGAUUCGCUAGUAAUCGCGCAUCAGCCACGGCGCGGUGAAUACGUUCCC